GAAUCUUAUAGACCAUCAUUAUUGGUACUAUGAAUAUGAAAAAAAAAAAAAAAAAAGUUUAUAUCUUUAACUUUCAAAAAGUGUAUACAAAACAUGUGUGUCAUUUUUUUAUUUCAUUUUAUAGAGGGUUUACAAUUGGAUGUUGAUCGUUUCAGGCAUAAUUUCAAUUUUUAUUGUUUUUGAAGGGUAUAUAUAAUAAAUCUACGCACUUAUAUAUAUAUAUACACGCAGUUUAUAUGUAUGUACUUGUGUUUACAUAUUUACUUAUAAGUGUACUAUUUUAUAUGCACUUUUAUUAUAUAUAUGUUGUUUUUAUUUUCCCCAUUUUUUAGAAUAUUUACUUAUCCCUUAAAAGAUUUAUUUUUGAUGAUAAUUUAUUCCGCAUUGACAUGGGCUAAUGCUGUAUCUUGUUGGAAAGUUACACAAGUAUUAUUUACUGGAAGACGCAGUCAAGACACUCUUUUAGAUAGCCUAAGUACACAAAAAAAAAAAUAAUUACUUUUUUUCAUUUUUUGAUAAAUAUAGUUAUAAAUAUAUUAAUGGGCAAACUAAUAUUGAGGAAAUAUACAUAAAAUUAUGUUUUUUUUACAUAGUACAAACUAUUUU
rnacentral:lncRNA from 1 species